GAUGAACGCUGGCGGCGUGCCUAAUACAUGCAAGUCGAGCGAACAGACGAGGAGCUUGCUCCUCUGACGUUAGCGGCGGACGGGUGAGUAACACGUGGAUAACCUACCUAUAAGACUGGGAUAACUUCGGGAAACCGGAGCUAAUACCGGGUAAUAUAUUGAACCGCAUGGUUCAAUAGUGAAAGACGGUUUUGCUGUCACUUAUAGAUGGGUCCGCGCCGCAUUAGCUAGUUGGUAAGGUAACGGCUUACCAAGGCAACGAUGCGUAGCCGACCUGAGAGGGUGAUCGGCCACACUGGAACUGAGACACGGUCCAGACUCCUACGGGAGGCAGCAGUAGGGAAUCUUCCGCAAUGGGCGAAAGCCUGACGGAGCAACGCCGCGGGAGUGAUGAAGGUCUUCGGAUCGUAAAACUCUGUUAUUAGGGAAGAACAAAUGUGUAAGUAACUAUGCACGUCUUGACGGUACCUAAUCAGAAAGCCACGGCUAACUACGUG
rnacentral:rRNA from 1 species